GAGUUUGAUUCUGGCUCAGGAUGAACGCUGACAGAAUGCUUAACACAUGCAAGUCAACUUGAACGUGGGUUUUUAACUUAGGUUUGGGUGGCGGACGGGUGAGUAACGCGUAAGGAACUUGCCUCACAGAUAGGGACAACAUUUAGAAAUGAAUGCUAAUACCUAAUAUUAUGAAAAUAGGGCAUCCUAUAAUUAUGAAAGCUAAAUGCGCUGUGAGAGAGCUUUGCGUCCCAUUAGCUAGUUGGAGAGGUAACGGCUCACCAAGGCGAUGAUGGGUAGCCGGCCUGAGAGGGUGAACGGCCACAAGAGGACUGAGACACGGCCCUUACUCCUACGGGAGGCAGCAGUGGGGAAUAUUGGACAAUGGACCAAGAGUCUGAUCCAGCAAUUCUGUGUGCACGAUGAAGUUUUUCGGAAUGUAAAGUGCUUUCAGUUGGGAAGAAAAGAAUGACGGACCGACAGAAGAA
rnacentral:rRNA from 1 species